GCGGUGACCAUGGCCUCUUCCAAAACAGCAGACAGGCCGAUGCAGAAAGCACUGGGCAACCCGGCACCACUCAAAGGGGAAGAGUCCUCACCUGGUCCAGCAGCGCUGAUGAGUCCCAGGCUCUGCCCCCCGGCCAGAGCCUGACCUCGCCCAACCAACUGUACAUGCCCAAAGACAGACUGGCUGCCAUGGAAAGCCCCGGGCAACCCAGCACCACUCAAAGGGGAAGAGUGCUUACCUGGCCCAGCAGCGCUGAUGAGCAGCAGGCUCCUACCCGGCCGGAGCCUGACCCUGCCCACCCAACUGGGCAUACGCAAAGGUGCAUUUCUCAGGGACGCCGGUAGGCGGCACAGAGAGACUGGCCGCCAUGGAAAGCCCCGGGCAACUCAGCACCACUCAAAGGGAAGAGUCCUAACCUGGCCCCGCAGUGCUGAUGAGCACCAGGCUCCAUUCCCGGCCGGAGCCUGACCCCACCCACCCGACUGGGCAUACGCAAAGACAGACAGGCCACCAUGGAAAGCCCCGGGCAACCCAGCACCACUCAAAGGGGAAGAAUCCUCACCUGGUCCAGCAGCGCUGAUGAGCACCAGGCUCCGCCCCCGGCCGGAGCCUGACCCCGUCCACCCGACUGGGCAUACGCAAAGACAGACUCGCCGCCAUGGAAAGACCCGGGCAACCCAGCACCACUUAAAGGAGAGGAGUCCUCAACUGGACCAGCAGCGCUGAUGAGCAGCAGGCUCCUACCCGGCCGGAGCCUGACCCCGCCCACAUGACUGCGCAUAUGCAAAGGUGUAUUUCUCAGGGUCGUCGGAAUGGGGCGCUGACAGACUGGCUGCCAUGGAAAGCCCCGGCAACCCAG